CCAAGUUCAAUUCCCCUCUCCUUUUUUAGUUUUUAAUUUCAGCUGAAAACACCCUUGGCAACCCUUUUUUAGCCUAUAUUUGUUACCAUACAAGGGAGGUUCUUUCCUCUAUUAUCUUUUUCUUCCUUCCUUUCUUGUUCCCCUUUUCACUCCCCUUGUUCCCCCUAUCCUUUUCUUCCUGUAUUUUCACUUCUUUCCUUUUUCCCUUCCUCUACUGGCCUAUUUUCGUCCCAUGCUAGGAUAAAACAAACAUUUUUUUUCUCUUCACUUUUACUCUCUCCUCUCCUCUCAUCUUUUUCUCUCCACCUCUUAUUGCAACCACUUUUUCACAUUUUUUCCACCAUAUCACCACCUUUGGCCACCAUUACAACACCAAACCACCACCACUAUACCACCAUUACUUCCCUCUCAUCCUCUUCUUGCCACCACCGCACCACUGCCCCUGUUGUCACCACCACCCUUUUUUUUCCAUUUUUCCUAUUCUCUUCAUUUCUUUGGUCAUAACCGAAUCUAUCAAUUUUUCUUAUAUUUUUCUUAAUUGUUAAAAAUUAUUCUUACUCAGUUUUCUUAUUUUGAAUUCUCUAUAGCUAC
rnacentral:lncRNA from 1 species